UGUUCUCGGGGCGGGGUGUAAUUCCCCACCGGCGGUAAGAGCUUUUGCUUAAGUCCGCGAGCGCUCUUUUGGUUUCUAUGCCAAAGAGGUCAGCAGAUUCGGUUAGAUUCCGAAACCGACGGUUAAAGUCCGGAUGAAAGAGAACA
rnacentral:ncRNA from 1 species